rnacentral:misc_RNA from 1 species
GAUGAAGAACGCAGCGAAAUGCGAUAAGUAGUGUGAAUUGCAGAAUUCAGUGAAUCAUCGAAUCUUUGAACGCACAUUGCGCCUCCUGGUAUUCCGGGAGGCAUGCCUGUUCGAGCGUCAUUAAAAUCACUCAAGCUUAGGUUUACCUAUUGCUUGGUCUUGGAGAUGGAAGCCAAUUCAUUGGAAUCCUCUUCGAAAUCCAAUGGCGAAGACCCUUGCUCUCCCAAGUGUAGUAAUAACUUAUGUCACUGAAGGAAGCGAGAAAUCUUCCGCCGUAACCCCCAUAUUUUCUAUGAUUGACCUCGGAUCAGGUAGGGAUACCAGCUGAACUUAAGCAUAUCAAUAAGCGGAGGA